rnacentral:rRNA from 1 species
AUUGAACGCUGGCGGCAUGCUUUACACAUGCAAGUCGAACGGUAACAGGCCUUCGGGUGCUGACGAGUGGCGAACGGGUGAGUAAUGCAUCGGAACGUACCCAGAGGUGGGGGAUAACGCAGCGAAAGCUGUGCUAAUACCGCAUGUGAUCUGAGGAUGAAAGCGGGGGACCGAGCAGCAAUGUUUGGCCUUGCGCCUUUGGAGCGGCCGAUGUCGGAUUAGCUAGUUGGUGGGGUAAAGGCCUACCAAGGCGACGAUCCGUAGCUGGUCUGAGAGGACGACCAGCCACACUGGGACUGAGACACGGCCCAGACUCCUACGGGAGGCAGCAGUGGGGAAUUUUGGACAAUGGGCGCAAGCCUGAUCCAGCAAUGCCGCGUGCGGGAAGAAGGCCUUCGGGUUGUAAACCGCUUUUGGCAGGAACGAAACGGCGUCCGCUAAUACCGGGCGCUAAUGACGGUACCUGCAGAAUAAGCACCGGCUAACUACGUG